rnacentral:rRNA from 1 species
UACGUAGGGGGCUAGCGUUGUCCGGAUUUAUUGGGCGUAAAGAGCGUGUAGGCGGCCAGGUAGGUCUGCUGUGAAAACUCGAGGCUCAACCUCGAGACGUCGGCGGAAACCAUCUGGCUAGAGUCCGGAAGAGGAAAGUGGAAUUCCUGGUGUAGCGGUGAAAUGCGCAGAUAUCAGGAAGAACACCAAUGGCGAAAGCAGCUUUCUGGGACGGUACUGACGCUGAGACGCGAAAGCGUGGGGAGCGAACAGG